GACGAACGCUGGCGGCGUGCCUAAUACAUGCAAGUAGAACGCUAAAGGAGGAGCUUGCUUCUCUGGAUGAGUUGCGAACGGGUGAGUAACGCGUAGGUAACCUGCCUGGUAGUGGGGGAUAACUAUUGGAAACGAUAGCUAAUACCGCAUAAUAACAGUUGUUGCAUGACAACUGUUUGAAAGGUGCAAUUGCAUCACUACCAGAUGGACCUGCGUUGUAUUAGCUAGUUGGUGGGGUAACGGCUCACCAAGGCGACGAUACAUAGCCGACCUGAGAGGGUGAUCGGCCACACUGGGACUGAGACACGGCCCAGACUCCUACGGGAGGCAGCAGUAGGGAAUCUUCGGCAAUGGACGAAAGUCUGACCGAGCAACGCCGCGUGAGUGAAGAAGGUUUUCGGAUCGUAAAGCUCUGUUGUAAGAGAAGAACGAGUGUGAGAGUGGAAAGUUCACACUGUGACG
rnacentral:rRNA from 1 species